rnacentral:rRNA from 1 species
GUACACUCCUGCGGGAGCAGCAGUGGGGAAUUUUGGACAAUGGGCGAAAGCCUGAUCCAGCAAUGCCGCGUGAGUGAAGAAGGCCUUCGGGUUGUAAAGCUCUUUUGUCAGGGAAGAAACGGUGAAAGCUAAUAUCUUUUGCUAAUGACGGUACCUGAAGAAUAAGCACCGGCUAACUACGUGCCAGCAGCCGCGGUAAUACGUAGGGUGCAAGCGUUAAUCGGAAUUACUGGGCGUAAAGCGUGCGCAGGCGGUUUUGUAAGUCUGAUGUGAAAUCCCCGGGCUCAACCUGGGAAUUGCAUUGGAGACUGCAAGGCUAGAAUCUGGCAGAGGGGGGUAGAAUUCCACGUGUAGCAGUGAAAUGCGUAGAUAUGUGGAGGAACACCGAUGGCGAAGGCAGCCCCCUGGGUCAAGAUUGACGCUCAUGCACGAAAGCGUGGGGAGCAAACAGGAUUAGAUACCCCAGUAGUCCC